rnacentral:rRNA from 1 species
GUGCCAGCCGCCGCGGUAAUACGGAGGGUGCAAGCGUUAUCCGGAUUUACUGGGUUUAAAGGGUGUGUAGGCGGACUUUUAAGUCAGCGGUGAAAUCUCCGGGCUCAACCCGGAAACUGCCAUUGAUACUAUUGGUCUUGAAUAUUGUGGAGGUGGGCGGAACGGGUCAUGUAGCGGUGAAAUGCUUAGAGAUGACCCGGAACACCGAUUGCGAAGGCAGCCCACUACGCAAUGAUUGACGCUGAGGCACGAAAGCGUGGGGAUCAAACAGGAUUAGAAACCCUCGUAGUCC